UUAUAUAAUACAACUGUUUUCGAUACGGCAGGUCCGUCAUUCAUUCCACACGGUAGUUUAAAGUGUGGACUCCAGCCAGGGCAGUUGUUUAUAGUUUUGACUUUGUAUUACCUAAUGAUGAUACCACAAUGUCCAUAAUCAGACAAACUCACAUAGUGUGUAAAAUAUGGAUGGACCUUUUAUCACAAGCUGCUAAAAAUUUUGCAUCUCAAGAAAGCUGCAUUACACACACUAUGGAGAAUAUGAAGAAAAUGGAUGCAGUUAAAUCCCAGCUAGAGUUCCACUAUUCUGGAAUUGAAA